rnacentral:rRNA from 1 species
CACAUGCAAGUCGAACGAUGAAGCCUAGCUUGCUAGGUGGAUUAGUGGCGCACGGGUGAGUAAUAUAUAGAUAACGUGCCUCUUAGUCUGGGAUAGCCAUUGGAAACGAUGAUUAAUACUGGAUACUCCUUCUCUUUAUAAUAAGAGUUGGGAAAGUUUUUCGCUAAGAGAUCGGUCUAUAUCCCAUCAGCUUGUUGGUAGUGUAAGAGACUACCAAGGCAAUGACGGGUAGCGGGUUUGAGAGGAUGAUCCGCCACACUGGUACUGAGACACGGACCAGACUCCUACGGGAGGCAGCAGUGAGGAAUAUUGCACAAUGGAGGAAACUCUGAUGCAGCAACGCCGCGUGGAGGAUGACGCAUUUCGGUGUGUAAACUCCUUUUAUAGGUCAAGAAAAUGACGGUAGCCUAUGAAUAAGCACCGGCUAACUCCGUGCCAGCAGCCGCGGUAAUACGGAGGGUGCAAGCGUUAUUCGGAAUCACUGGGCGUAAAGGACACGUAGGCGGGAAGCCAAGUCUGAUGUGAAAUCCUACAGCUUAACUGUAGAACUGCAUUGGAAACUGGUUACCUAGAGUAUGGGAGGGGGAGAUGGAAUUAGUGGUGUAGGGGUAAAAUCCGUAGAUAUCACUAGGAAUACCUAAAGCGAAGGCGAUCUCCUGGAACAUUACUGACGCUAAGGUGUGAAAGCGUGGGGAGCAAACGGGAUUAGAUACCCCGGUAGUCCACGCCCUAAACGAUGUUCACUAGUCGUCGGGAUGCUAGUCAUCUCGGUGAUGCACUUAACAGAUUAAGUGAACCGCCUGGGGAGUACGGU